AUACGGAGGAUGCGAGCGUUAUCCGGAUUUAUUGGGUUUAAAGGGAGCGUAGGUGGGAUAUUAAGUCAGCGGUGAAAGUUUGGGGCUCAACCUUAAAAUUGCAGUUGAUACUGGUUUCCUUGAGUACGGUAUAGGUGGGCGGAAUUCGUGGUGUAGCGGUGAAAUGCUUAGAUAUCACGAAGAACUCCGAUUGCGAAGGCAGCUCACUAGACUGUUACUGACACUGAUGCUCGAAAGUGUGGGUAUCAAACAGGAUUAGAUACCCUGGUAGUCCACACAGUAAACGAUGAAUACUCGCUGUUUGCGAUAUACAGUAAGCGGCCAAGCGAAAGCAUUAAGUAUUCCACCUGGGGAGUACGCCGGCAACGGUGAAACUUAAAGGAAUUGGCGGGG
rnacentral:rRNA from 1 species